GAGAGUGAUCGGAUUGCCGGAGACGAGGAAGUGCAUUGCUAUUGCAAAAUCUGCAAUUUCUGCAUUGGUGUACCGGUACAAGCCUAAUGCUGUACCGGUACAGCAAGCAGCAGCAGCUGCAGCUGCGUGGCAGCAGGGUUACUUUGGUCUUUUCACCUCCCAUACUUAUCCCCAACACCCCAGCACGACCCCAGGAGCUGAGAUAUGGUUGCUGGAGCUCAGGGUUUCAUCUCCUCCACUCUCUCUCUCUCUAGAGUUUUCUCUCUCUACGAGUAAGUCGCCGUUUGCGCCGAUUUCGCGCCGUUCUCGUCGCUUGCUGGUUGGGUGGACUUGGGGUCAGCUUUUAAAAGGUAAAGGGAUGUGUUUUAACAGUGCUUUUCAUCUAUAUUACUGGGAGUUGUUGAAGAAAGCUUGAGAGAGGUAGUUAGCUUAAAUUUCUCUAUAGUUGAUGGUUUAUCAUUGGACUUUGACGUGUUCUUGCUCCGUUGCCUCCAGCAGAGUUUGUUAGGGGUUCCUGCAGGUAGAAAGAAGAUAUCUAGCUGUGAUUUACUUACUUUACUCCAGGAAAAAGUUGUCUUGAGGCUUGAUACAGCAGGUUUCUGAAUUUAAUCAAGCUUAUUUGGUGACCUCGGGAGCUGGUUUAGUAAGUGUACUGACCCAGGCGAGAGGGCAUUUGACCCUUGGAUCAUCGUUGGU